rnacentral:misc_RNA from 1 species
GUUUAACGUUAACCCCAGAUUAUUAUCAACUCUGUGAGUGUUAUCUCUUCUCUUCCUUCUGUUUGGCAGAGCGCAGAUCUCAUUCUCUCCACCUUCAACUACGUAGUUUAUCUUCUGUUUGGCUCCUCACAUCUGCAUACUUUCUCUCGCUUUCAUAAGAGUCUCUCUCUCUGCUUUGGCUUCCGCUCUCCAGAUCUGAUCCUCAAAAUCACUAAGAGUUGGAGAGAAGAGUGAUGCCUUCAAUUGUGCAAAAUGGACCCAGAAACAAUCCUCAAACCCAAAAGCCCCACUCUAACUUCCCCAAUAAACCUCACAAUCCCGAUUCUCUGGCCAGGAGAGAGAGGAUUGAGAGGCAGAGAGAGUCUCUACCAAUAGCAUCAGU